AGAGUUUGAUCCUGGCUCAGGAUGAACGCUGGCGGCGUGCCUAAUACAUGCAAGUCGAGCGAACGGACGAGAAGCUUGCUUCUCUGAUGUUAGCGGCGGACGGGUGAGUAACACGUGGAUAACCUACCUAUAAGACUGGGAUAACUUCGGGAAACCGGAGCUAAUACCGGAUAAUAUUUUGAACCGCAUGGUUCAAAAGUGAAAGACGGUCUUGCUGUCACUUAUAGAUGGAUCCGCGCUGCAUUAGCUAGUUGGUAAGGUAACGGCUUACCAAGGCAACGAUGCAUAGCCGACCUGAGAGGGUGAUCGGCCACACUGGAACUGAGACACGGUCCAGACUCCUACGGGAGGCAGCAGUAGGGAAUCUUCCGCAAUGGGCGAAAGCCUGACGGAGCAACGCCGCGUGAGUGAUGAAGGUCUUCGGAUCGUAAAACUCUGUUAUUAGGGAAGAACAUAUGUGUAAGUAACUGUGCACAUCUUGACGGUACCUAAUCAGAAAGCCACGGCUAACUACGUGCCAGCAGCCGCGGUAAUACGUAGGUGGCAAGCGUUAUCCGGAAUUAUUGGGCGUAAAGCGCGCGUAGGCGGUUUUUUAAGUCUGAUGUGAAAGCCCACGGCUCAACCGUGGAGGGUCAUUGGAAACUGGAAAACUUGAGUGCAGAAGAGGAAAGUGGAAUUCCAUGUGUAGCGGUGAAAUGCGCAGAGAUAUGGAGGAACACCAGUGGCGAAGGCGACUUUCUGGUCUGUAACUGACGCUGAUGUGCGAAAGCGUGGGGAUCAAACAGGAUUAGAUACCCUGGUAGUCCACGCCGUAAACGAUGAGUGCUAAGUGUUAGGGGGUUUCCGCCCCUUAGUGCUGCAGCUAACGCAUUAAGCACUCCGCCUGGGGAGUACGACCGCAAGGUUGAAACUC
rnacentral:rRNA from 1 species